rnacentral:tRNA from 1 species
GCCAGAGUGGCGGAAUGGCAGACGCGCUGGACUCAAAAUCCAGUGUCCGCAAGGACGUGUGGGUUCGAGUCCCACCUCUGGUA